AAUAAAGAAGAUUGGUGGGUUAAAAAGGGGAGGGGGGGGGAAGAAAGAACAGCGACCUCUUCUUCUGUCUUCUCUUUCUUCCUUUCUCUUUGGGAGAGAUUUUAAUAAGUUUUCUAUAAAUUAUGAAAUGGUUUCCAGGAUUUGCUGAUUAAACUCUUACCACCAGAGAAGAAAAAGAGCUCAAGAAAAAGAAAGCUGGAGAGAGAGCAGAUAGAAAACGAUAGCUAAACCUCAAUCUUCUAUUUCUUUUAUUCUCUGCAACUCCAAGGAUCCAACAGCUUUGGAAAGAGAUAUAACUAUGAAUAACAAGAAAUGAUAUGGGUAUAGAUACUACAACUCUUCAUCAUCAUAACGCUUCUUGACAACAAUUCAGAUUCUCUAUGUCCCAAGAUUAUCACCAUCCCCAAGGAAUCUUUUCCUUCUCCAAUGGAUUCCACCGACCAUCAUCUUCCCAUCAGGAGGAAGUUGAGGAAUCCGCUGUCUCCGGUGCUCCGAUCCCGGUUUACGAAACCGCCGGAAUGUUGUCUGAAAUGUUUAGUUACCCCGGCGGUGGCUCAGGCGAGAUUCUUGAUCACUCUACUAAACAAUUGCUAGAGCAACAAAACCGUCACAACAACAACAACAACUCAACUCUACAUAUGUUACUACCAAAUCAUCAUCAAGGUUAUGGUUAUGCCAACGAGCAACAACAACAUCACUUCACGUGGCCAUCUUGCUCCGAUCAUCAGAGUCAAGGAGAUAUGAUCGGGACCGUACACGUGGAAGGUGGAAAAGGUUUAUCCUUAUCUCUCUCGUCGUCAUUAGAAGCAGCUGCUGCAGCUAAAGCAGAAGAAUAUAGAAGCAUUUAUUGUGCAGCCGUUGAUGGAACUUCUUCUUCUAACACUUCGGCUCAUCAUCAUCAUCAAUUCAAUCAGUUCAAGACUCUUCUUCUUGAUAAUUCUACUUCUCAUCAUCAAGCUGUUGGACAUUUCGGGUCAUCAUCAUCUUCUCCCAUGGGGGCAUCUUCCUCUAUUGGAGGGAUCUAUACGUUGAGGAACUCAAAGUACACGAAGCCGGCACAAGAGUUGUUGGAAGAGUUUUGUAGUGUCGGAAGAGGACACUUCAAGAAGAACAAACUUAGCAGGAACAACUCAAACCCUAAUACUAGCGGUGGAGGAGGGUCGUCUUCGUCCCCCGGAGUAGCCAAUGAUAAUCCUCCUUUGUCUCCGGCUGAUCGGAUUGAACAUCAAAGAAGAAAAGUCAAGCUACUCUCUAUGCUUGAAGAGGUAGACCGACGGUACAACCACUACUGCGAACAAAUGCAAAUGGUAGUGAACUCAUUCGACCAAGUGAUGGGUUAUGGCGCAGCCAUUCCAUACACCACAUUAGCCCAAAAGGCAAUGUCUAGACACUUCCGGUGUUUGAAAGACGCGGUUCUGGUUCAGUUAAAACGCAGCUGCGAGCUUCUAGGUGAGAAAGAGACGUCGGGGGCUGCGUCCUCGGGGUUAACCAAAGGCGAAACGCCACGAUUGCGUUUGCUAGAGCAGAGUUUGCGUCAACAACGAGCGUUUCAUCAUAUGGGUAUGAUGGAGCAAGAGGCAUGGAGACCGCAACGUGGGUUACCUGAACGCUCUGUUAAUAUCCUUAGAGCUUGGCUUUUCGAGCAUUUUCUUAAUCCGUACCCAAGCGAUGCUGAUAAGCACCUCUUGGCUCGUCAGACUGGUUUAUCCAGAAAUCAGGUGUCGAAUUGGUUUAUAAAUGCUAGGGUUCGUCUAUGGAAACCAAUGGUUGAAGAAAUGUAUCAACAAGAAGCAAAAGAAAGAGAAGAAAAAGAAUUAGAAGAAAAUCAAAAAGAAGAUUAUCACCAAACAAACAACAGCAGCAACAACAGUGACACGAAGCCCAAUGAAAGCAACUUCACUCUCGUUCAGACAAUAACUGCACAAACUCCAACAACGACGAUGAUGACGCCGACACCUCACGAAAACGACUCUUCAUUCCUCCCUUCCUCCGUCGUAACCGCCGCUCCUCACAGCGUUUCAGACGCUUUCACCGCUGCCACGUGUCAGCAAGACGUCAGUGAUCACUUCCAGGUUAACGAUGGUGUCAUAAGAUUCGGAACCAAACAGGCUGGUGACGUGUCACUUACGCUUGGUCUACGCCACACUGGCAAUAUGCCUGAUAAUAAGAACCCUUCUUUCUCCGUUAGAGAUUUUGGAGAUUUCUAGUCUGCCUUCGUCGCUUCUCUACUGAUUAAUCAACUUAUAAUAGUGUAUUUUUUGGUUGUUUAUAGGAAUAUGUUUUAGUCGUCUCUUCACAAACUCUUAAAGUUUCUUUUAUGUAUCCCCUCUCGUAAGAAGAAGAGAAGUACACAUAAAUUGAUCAUAUACUUAGCUAUAAAAAGUUCUAUAAUUUUUUAGAAAUGUAACUAUGUAAUAUAUAUUUUAGUUUCUUUUUCCAAA